UUCACAAGGCCACAAAGUGUCACAUUGGUCUCCAUAGGAAGGAAACCACAGAACCCCCAUGUUUCAGGAGCUGAAGAACAGCAGCCGCCAGAGGCCAAGACAUUUGUGCCUGGAGAAGGAGGAUUUUUUCCACAAAAAGAGAAGCAUAGAGCCCUUUCCAGUGUUUGGAAAACAGGAGUGCCUGUGCUGGGGAAAUGUGGCAGAAAUGCUGCUCUUGGAGGGGUUGGAGUGCCUUGGAUAGCUGACUCAGUCAGGCCUGUAAGUAAGGUUAAGUCACAAGGUCUAAG